AAUAUAUAAAGGCCCAACCCUCCAAUACAAAGUUGCAAACCCUGUUUCUUGUGUGUGUGUGUGAGGAAACAGAAUGGGUGGGUUUAGAGUUGUUGUGAUGCUUCUAUUUGUGUUCAUUGGUGUUUGUGACUACGGGGCGAAGGGCAUGGAAACCAAUCCCAACUUUGUUCACACUUGCAGCCCAUGCUGCAAUAGGGGCAUCUGCACCAGGUCAUGUCCCCCAAUUUGUCACUGCUAGGACGUGUGGGACAGCUGUCCCAUCUGGUGCAAAAAAUGUGAUUGCACCGAAGGGGAUUCCAACUCCAACAAAUGUCUAUGCAAGGAUACCUACAACUAUUCCCCACCAAAUUGUCCGGCUUCAGGCUUUGCUGUUAAAGGGCUAGAUGAAUUUGAAAGUGAAGGCCCAUCAACUAAUUAUCUAAAACCUACUUACAUAAAUGGAAGGGUCAUCAUCGUGUAUGACCCGCAUAAAUAAAAAUGUGACUCUUCACUUGGCUUCUGGGCACUGUUUGUCCAUGGAUAUAUGGGGAAGAAUCAUUUCUAAUGUUUAUUUGUUUUUUUUGGAUAAUGCAGUGGAGAGGACAGGGCUUUACCCUUUUUUUCAACAA